rnacentral:rRNA from 1 species
GACGAACGCUGGCGGCGCGCUUAACACAUGCAAGUCGAACGGAAAGGCCUGCUUUCCCUUGUGGAUUGCGGGUACUCGAGUGGCGAACGGGUGAGUAACACGUGAGUGAUCUGCCCCAACUUGGGUAUAAGCCUGGGAAACUGGGUCUAAUUCCCGAUAGGACUGCAGGGUGGUGCCUGUGGUUGAAAACGGUUUUCUAGUGGUUGGGGGUGAGCUCGCGGCCUAUCAGCUUGUUGGUGGGGUAAUGGCCUACCAAGGCGGCGACGGGUAGCCGGCCUGAGAGGGUGGACGGCCACAUUGGGGCUGAGAUACGGCCCAGACUCCUACGGGAGGCAGCAGUGGGGAAUAUUGCACAAUGGGCGGAAGCCUGAUGCAGCGACGCCGCGUGGGGGAUGACGGCCUUCGGGUUGUAAACUCCUUUCGACCGCGAGGAAGCCACCUGGUUGGAAGGGUGGUGACGGUAGUGGUAGAAGAAGCACCGGCUAACUACGUG